UGCUACUCUGCUGACGAGCGGCGGACGGGUGAGUAAUGCUUGGGAAUGUACCUUAUGGUGGGGGACAACAGUUGGAAACGACUGCUAAUACCGCAUAAUGUCUUCGGACCAAAGCGGGGGACCUUCGGGCCUCGCGCCAUAAGAUCAGCCCAAGUGGGAUUAGCUAGUUGGUGAGGUAAUGGCUCACCAAGGCGACGAUCCCUAGCUGGUUUGAGAGGAUGAUCAGCCACACUGGGACUGAGACACGGCCCAGACUCCUACGGGAGGCAGCAGUGGGGAAUAUUGCACAAUGGGCGCAAGCCUGAUGCAGCCAUGCCGCGUGUGUGAAGAAGGCCUUCGGGUUGUAAAGCACUUUCAGUAAGGAGGAAAGGUUGGAUGUUAAUAGCAUUCAGCUGUGACGUUACUUACAGAAGAAGCACCGGCUAACUCCGUGCCAGCAGCCGCGGUAAUACGGAGGGUGCGAGCGUUAAUCGGAAUUACUGGGCGUAAAGCGUACGCAGGCGGUUUGUUAAGCGAGAUGUGAAAGCCCCGGGCUCAACCUGGGAACUGCAUUUCGAACUGGCAAACUAGAGUG
rnacentral:rRNA from 1 species